GUGUGUGUGAGUAUUCUUUUUUAAGUGGCGAGCUGAAUAUUUUAAACAAACACUGCUUAAAAUCUAUAAUUUAUGGGCGAAGCUUCAGAAGAGGAGAUCAAUCACUGCCUGGUGCUCAGGGUGGCUCUCCAUCUGCACAGCCUCCCCUGCUCUGUUCCCAGUCAACCAGCGAGGCAGAAGGGAUUAGCCUCGGGCUCGAGCAGCGCCCAGACAAUCCCCACCUCCGAAGGGAGAAAGCCACAUUGCCUUCCCUUGCUGGCAGGAGCAUCGCUGAGCCCUCUGCCAAGCACAUCCUCUGGGGAACUGGACCAGGAUGGGAGCUGAAAGGCGCUGGUGGUCAAUGGGAGGAUGCAGGACCAUCUUUUAUUCAUGGCCGAGCGGCGCACACGCCGCUGCUUGCCGCCUUCUUGGGAUGCUGGCAUUAAUAUUUCAUCCUGGAGCCAGCUCGUGCUGAAGAGCUCAUGUCCCAGGAAACCCUUUUUGGGGGCCAGCUGCAAUAUUUCCUUUCAAGGGUUCCUUGGGAAGAUAACAGUGGAAAAGCCACGCUCUGACAUGGUGGGUCUGGAACGAAAAGUGAAGGUGUUCCUCUGCAAGCAUCAAAGCAGUUUCAACUUAACCAAAAAUGCUUCUCCUGAAUCACUGGGUCUUUAAAUCGAAAUACCUUCUCAAUAGAUGUAAUAAUGCUGGAGAAAAAGUGAUUGGAAAACAACUCCAUGUCCUCAGUGAUCCUUAUGGGUCCCUUCCAACAUGGGAUGUUCUGUGAUCUACAUGAGUUCCGUAGGAUGGAAGGGGAUGCUGCAUGUGGGAACGGAAGGAGGAACAGUUAUUUGCACAGCUCUUUGAGAUCCUUGAAGGAAAACCCUGGAGAGAUAUAAGCAGUGAAUGGAGAAGGGGAACCGUAGCUCUACUGUGAGCCAGCGUGGUGCCCUGUGAGAAAUGGAACCCUCCAGGUGAGACUCUGCCCUCUGAGAAGUGAAAAGCAAUUUUUCUGCUGACUGCACCUGACCACAGCUCCAGACUCCCCCAUCAGAUGCUGGGCCAAAGUCAGUGCUACAGCC
ensembl:lncRNA